AAUAAAAUGCCUGAAUAAAGGAUUAUUCUGAUAGAAUAAAUCAUGUAGAACUCUACUUUUAUUA
rnacentral:tRNA from 1 species